rnacentral:ncRNA from 1 species
CUCUAAAAUACCAGAUGCUCAAGCGGCGUAUGAAUCUGCAAAUACACUUCAGACAGCAGCUUUAGCCGGUGUGAAUUUCAU